AUGCGCAGGUGGCGGCGGGAGGUGGAGCAGCCCGGCGCCGAGCCCCGCGGCGGUGACUCUGCAGAGCGGCGGCCGGAGGAGCGGCGCGGGGCCAUGGCGCAGCGGCUCUUCCCCCUGCCCAGGCAGCAGUCCCUCUACCCGCCCAGCGUCCGCAACCCCUUCGUGCACAAAGGGCGCCUGAGCGCCCGCGACAAAGCGCGGACUGUCCUGUUGGGGCUUAUCCUGCUUCCAUUUCGUGCCAUAUGUAUUGCAUUAAUUUUGCUGCUAGCAUGGCUAUUUGCAGCAAUUGUGACUUUCUGCCAUCCUGGAAGAGGGUCUGUGCCGCUCAUGGGAUGGAAGAGGAGAGUGACCCAGUGUGCCCUCCAGUGCUUAGGUCGUGUUAUGUUCUUCUUGAUGGGCUUCCAAGUUGAAGUGAAGGGGAAAGUAGCAGGUCCCUUGGAAGCCCCAAUCCUUGUUGCAGCUCCUCACUCAAGCUUCUUUGAUGGAAUUGUUUGUAUCAUAGCUGGAUUGCCAUCGUUCGUAUCCAGGUUAGAGAACCUGUCGGCCCCAGUAUUUGGCACAAUUCUCAGAUCCCUCCAGCCAGUACUGGUAUCACGUCUAGAUCCAGAUUCUCGAAGGAAUACAAUCAAUGAGAUAACUAAACGAGCAACAUCAGGAGGCCAGUGGCCACAGGUCCUGAUUUUCCCAGAAGGCACCUGUACAAAUCGAUCUUGUCUGAUCACCUUUAAACAAGGAGCCUUUAUUCCAGGAGUUCCCGUGCAACCGGUGCUGCUCCGAUAUCCAAACAAACUGGAUACUGUGACCUGGACAUGGCAAGGCUAUUCAUUCAAAGAACUUUGUGUGAUGACUUUUUGCCAGCUGUUAACGAGGGUAGAAGUUGAGUUUCUACCUGUCCAUGUUCCUACAGAGGAAGAGAAAAAGGAUCCUACUCUUUUUGCCAACAGAGUCCGUAGUACCAUGGCAAUGGCUUUGAAUGUGCCAGUUACAGACCAUACUUUUGAAGACUGCAGACUUAUGAUUUCAGCAGGACAGCUGACCUUGCCCAUGGAAGCAGGACUGGUGGAGUUUACCAAAAUCAGCAAGAAACUGAAUCUAAAAUGGGAUCCUAUCCGAGAUCAACUGGAUACAUUUGCUGCUAUUGCAAAUACCUCCAAAGGGGGAAGAAUUGGAAUGGAGGAGUUUGCCGAGUACUUGAAGCUGCCUGUCUCAGAUGUUCUCAAAGAGCUGUUCCUACUCUUCGAUAGGAAUGGAGAUGGCACCAUAGACUUCCGAGAAUACGUGAUUGGUUUGUCUGUUCUUUGUAACCCUGCCAACACAGAAGAGACUAUUCAGAUGGCAUUUAAGCUCUUUGACGUUGAUGAUGACGGCAGCAUAACAGAAGAAGAGUUUGCUUGUAUUCUCCGGUCAUCUCUUGGCGUACCUGACCUUGAUGUUUCUCAACUCUUUAAGGAAAUAGACACAGAUAAUUCUGGGAAGAUCGCCUAUAAUGAGUUUAAGGACUUUGCAUUCAAGCAUCCAGAAUAUGCCAAGUUAUUUACUACGUACCUAGAGCUACAGAGGUGCCAGCUACAGACAUUAGAUGAAGAAGAUUAUCAGACACCAGAAGACACAUACUCACAGAGUAAGACAUCAGUUUCAGAAAAGACUCCAAUCACAAGAAAUAAAGUCGGUCCUGAAAGCAAUGAAGAAGACAUCUCAAGUACUUCAGACAAAAAGGAUGACUAACAGGACCUAGAAACGCUACCUGAGACUGAAAAGCCACUGGACUGGCAUUGUAUCAACACACAGUGAAAGAUUCUCCCUCCCCUGAAGAGUUUACAAACAAGGCAAAGAGAGAGAAGAGAAACAGUCACAGAGUGGCUAAGUAUUUGCCUGAGGUCACACUGCAGGUUAUUGGCAGAGCUGGGAUUAAAAGCCAGAUCUCUUGAUUCCUGGUUCAGGGUUCUACCCACUAGACCAUGCUGUCUCUCUGAAACUCGAAGAAAUAAUCGAACUCUGACCCCUCUAAACGUGGGGUAAGUUCAGCAUGAGAUCAAAACCACAAUGCGCAAGGAGAGAGCAGAUCAAAUAGAUUAGAUUGUUUAUGCCAAGAGGGUGCAUGGUUUUGCCUUAUAUGCUACUUUGAGCAUCAGUGUUUCUCUUUUUAAAUGCCUGCCCUUCUCACCUGCAACUGUCUCUGCUUUGCUUGCCACCUCGAGGCAUUUCCAGUUCACCAGAGACUGAUCCUGUCCACUGUGACUGUACUAUCUGAGAUAUUGCACCCCAGAGUCUCUGCACAGUUCAUGUAGGAUCCGUGCUCUGGCAGGCAAGUGUCUAAGGAAUGUAUCACAUGCCCAUAGAGUCCAAUCUGAUUUUCAGUGAAGUCAGUGUUGGACUUUCUAUGGGGAGGGUUGGACUGAAAUCAGUCUCAUGUUAGUUCAUUUCUCAACCUGUGGUGGGGUUUAUGAAUUCAAAUAUUUCAUGUCAGUCAAACCCUUCUGCCUUUUCUCCUCAGGUAUCCUUGCUAUUUUCCCCAUACAGAAUCCAUCUACCUUUCUUCAAAGACUCAGACUCUAAGUCAUUGUUUUCUAAGUUUGUUAAUAUUUUCCUGCCCAUAUCACAGAAGAACCUGCCAAGAGAAAUAUCUCGGCUGGAAAACAAAGAAGCAGAACUUGGCAUGCAUUCAUCCCAGUUUGGGUGGAUAAAUAAACAGUAGAUCAAAUAUUGGUGGCGGGGGGGGGAACUGUUUAUUCCUAGCGGGUUCAUUUCUUACGCACACAUCUCUCCCACAGCAUGGGGACAAGCACGUCCUAUGGAAGUGUGCACCACUGCACCUGGGAAAGGGCUAUUGCUGUCAACUGGACAACACAUUCUCUCUUACAAAACUGUAUUGUACUCUGCAUGGGCCUACAACUUAAAUCUACCUGGAAACUGCAGCUGAUACAGAAAGUGACAACUCAGGGGAGAAAAAUAAAUCCAUCCAUCCAUUCUCUGAAGGGCCCUAUAAGUUGACAUUUCAUGUAAGUCCCAGAAGAGGCCUCAGAUCUUCUUGCCUAGGCAGAGUUUGGAGUUAUUGCAGCAACUAGCAAUAUAUGGGAACUGAAGAUGUGUCUGAUCCAAAAUGCUGAAGCUGAAUGCACCGCAGCUUUGGAAAUCCAGUUUUUGUGCCUCAGGCCAUUUCCUAGUCUGAAGAUAUCUGCUCAGCACCUCUGUUUGUUUUGUUCAGCUUUUCCUUAAUAAAAAUGAAUGAUCAAUUAUAAAACAUUUUGCCAAAGCACUGAUUAGAAGGAACUGAAGCAACUAGCUGUUGACUGAGACACAUCUGAAAAAGUAAAAGAUUUGGAAGAAAAGGAAAAGAGGAGGGAAAGACGCAAAGAAGGGGGAAGAGGAAUGAAUUAGAGUGAUAAGUAUCAAUAUGUAUUAAUCAGUUCACAGGAUAGAGGAAUAGUGCUUUGUUGUUACAUUAUUAAGUGCCUCUUAUGUAGGUUUGGAAGAAUGAUAUUUUUAUUGUAAAUGUCAGUAAGCAUCGAUUUCACCGUUCACACAUAAAUCAAUGAAAA